rnacentral:rRNA from 1 species
GACGAACGCUGGCGGCGUGCUUAACACAUGCAAGUCGAACGGAAAGGCCCUGCUUUUGUGGGGUGCUCGAGUGGCGAACGGGUGAGUAACACGUGAGUAACCUGCCCUUGACUUUGGGAUAACUUCAGGAAACUGGGGCUAAUACCGGAUAGGAGCUCCUGCUGCAUGGUGGGGGUUGGAAAGUUUCGGCGGUUGGGGAUGGACUCGCGGCUUAUCAGCUUGUUGGUGGGGUAGUGGCUUACCAAGGCUUUGACGGGUAGCCGGCCUGAGAGGGUGACCGGCCACAAUGGGACUGAGAUACGGCGCAGACGCCUACGGGAGGCAGAAGUGGGGAAUAUUGCACAAUGGGCGGAAGCCUGAUGCGGCAAUGCCGGGUGCGGAAUGACGGCCUUCGGGUUGUAAACCGCUUUCGCAUGUGACGAAGCGGUAGUGACGGUAAUGGGUAAGGAAGCAACGGCUAACUACGUG